rnacentral:lncRNA from 1 species
UCUGCCCUGUGAGGAUGCAGCAAGAAAACCCUCACCAGAUGCCAGUGCCUUGAUCUUGGACUUCCCAGCCCCCAGAGCUGACUAGAUCGCUAGCUGGCCCUUUGAUUUAACUCUUCAUCUACCAUAGUCAGGUGCCACAGCUUGAUGAACGAGAUAGAAUCGCACAAUGGGAUCAAAGGGACAGCCAGCCCAGUUUAUUUCCAGAGGAAAAGCUUACCAGGACACAAAGGAGGAAAAAAGACUCGGCUUGAAACCAAUUCUUCCCUGAAGUACAAAUAUCUUUGAUGCUAAAAGCAGAAUGGACUGAGAGAUGCCUUGGACAUAAGUGAUUUCACAUCUGUAACUAUAUCCUGCAAACAUUUGUAGACACAUCUUGGGAAAGAAGCACUCAUGCUUGCAUCUGUUUCCAACAUCUGUGCAUUUAAGUCAGCAACAAAAGUCACCAGGCAUUUGAGCUUUCCCUGCUAUAAUGUUUCUGAUUUACCUUGACAGCGUGAGUAAUCCAAUCAAAGACAAUAUUCCUCUUGAUUUCAGUAAUGAGAGAGACUACACUUAUCUGAAACCUGUGUUACAUUCAUCUCACCAAUACAGUACUAAUGAAAAGGACAAAUAACUGAGUCUCUCUUGGUGGCCUGCAUGCAACUGCUUAAAUACAUAAGUGCAUAGCAACAAUAUGUGAAUAACAUAUAAAAAUAAAUAUGUUCAAGUGCAGCAGGGUGAGUGGGUUUUGUAGGGUCAGUGGCGUGAAUGGGGGUUAAUUUCUGUUCAGUCAGGUGAGGUACAAAUGCAUCAACUUUGCUGGAAAAUAGUUCCAAUUGUGGCUAAAUGGUCUAGUUUCCUGCAGGAUACAAGCAGCCUAUUAUUUAGUGUUUUAAAAGGCUUGUUCAAAUUUGACCAUUUGUAUGGGAAUCAAUACAACAGAGGAUGGGGACAAAUAUCAGAGGUCACACCAAGCACAUCAUCAAGGGCAGGUCCAAGUGCCCAUAAUUUCUCCAAUAAUCCAGGGGACAAAACCCCUUUUGGUCUGGUG